rnacentral:rRNA from 1 species
CAGCCUGAUGUAGCCAUGCCGCGUGUAUGAAGAAGGCCUUCGGGUUGUAAAGUACUUUCAGCAGUGAGGAAGGCGUUGUCGUUAAUAGCGGCCUCGUUUGACGUUAGCUGCAGAAGAAGCACCGGCUAACUCCGUGCCAGCAGCCGCGGUAAUACGGAGGGUGCGAGCGUUAAUCGGAAUUACUGGGCGUAAAGCGCAUGCAGGUGGUUUGUUAAGUCAGAUGUGAAAGCCCGGGGCUCAACCUCGGAAUAGCAUUUGAAACUGGCAGACUAGAGUACUGUAGAGGGGGGUAGAAUUUCAGGUGUAGCGGUGAAAUGCGUAGAGAUCUGAAGGAAUACCGGUGGCGAAGGCGGCCCCCUGGACAGAUACUGACACUCAGAUGCGAAAGCGUGGGGAGCAAACAGGAUUAGAUACCCUGGUAGUCCACGCCGUAAACGAUGUCUACUUGGAGGUUGUGGCCUUGAGCCGUGGCUUUCGGAGCUAACGCGUUAAGUAGACCGCCUGGGGAGUACGGUCGCAAGAUUAAAACUCAAAUGAAUUGACGGGGGCCCGCACAAGCGGUGGAGCAUGUGGUUUAAUUCGAUGCAACGCGAAGAACCUUACCUACUCUUGACAUCCAGAGAACUUUCCAGAGAUGGAUUGGUGCCUUCGGGAACUCUGAGACAGGUGCUGCAUGGCUGUCGUCAGCUCGUGUUGUGAAAUGUUGGGUUAAGUCCCGCAACGAGCGCAACCCUUAUCCUUGUUUGCCAGCGAGUAAUGUCGGGAACUCCAGGGAGACUGCCGGUGAUAAACCGGAGGAAGGUGGGGACGACGUCAAGUCAUCAUGGCCCUUACGAGUAGGGCUACACACGUGCUACAAUGGCGCAUACAGAGG